rnacentral:rRNA from 1 species
UACGAAGGGGGCUAGCGUUGUUCGGAAUUACUGGGCGUAAAGCGCACGUAGGCGGACUAUUAAGUCAGGGGUGAAAUCCCGGGGCUCAACCUCGGAACUGCCUUUGAUACUGCAAAUCUCGAGUCCGGAAGAGGUGAGUGGAAUUCCUAGUGUAGAGGUGAAAUUCGUAGAUAUUAGGAAGAACACCAGUGGCGAAGGCGGCUCACUGGUCCGGUACUGACGCUGAGGUGCGAAAGCGUGGGGAGCAAACAGG